AGCAGCCGCGGUAAUACGGAGGGUCCAAGCGUUAUCCGGAAUCAUUGGGUUUAAAGGGUUCGCAGGCGGUUCAUUAAGUCAGUGGUGAAAUCUCUCGGCUCAACCGAGAAACUGCCAUUGAUACUGAUGGACUUGAAUAUAGUUGGAGUAGGCGGAAUGUGUAGUGUAGCGGUGAAAUGCUUAGAUAUUACACAGAACACCGAUAGCGAAGGCAGCUUACUAAACUAUAAUUGACGCUCAUGAACGAAAGCGUGGGGAGCGAACAGGAUUAGAUACCCUGG
rnacentral:rRNA from 1 species